rnacentral:rRNA from 1 species
UACGUAGGUGGCAAGCGUUGUCCGGAUUUACUGGGCGUAAAGAGCGCGCAGGCGGUCGAGUAAGUCGAAUGUGAAAGCCCCCGGCUCAACUGGGGAGGGUCACGCGAUACUGAUCGACUCGAAGGCAGGAGAGGGUAGUGGAAUUCCCGGUGUAGUGGUGAAAUGCGCAGAUAUCAGGAGGAACACCAGCGGCGAAGGCGGCGCUCUGGGCCGGUACUGACGCUGAGGAGCGAAAGCGUGGGUAGCAAACAGG